CCUGGUGCCUAUGGCGGUGUGGAACCACGCUCAUCCAUCCCGAACUGAGUUGUGAAACGCAUCUGCGGCGAAGAUAGUUGGUGGGUAGCUGCCUGCAAAAAUAGCUCGGUGCCAGGG
rfam:Leptolyngbya sp. O-77 DNA, complete genome.